UACAACGGGACGGGGCAAACGAGCGAAAGCUGAAAUGACCUCUCGACAGGCAGCUUGAACCAACCCUCACUGAGUUCAGUCAGGCUUUACUCCCAAGUAAGGGAGCUUUAGCUGCACAAAUCUUUCCACACCAUGGAGUGGGGAAUGGGUGCAGAGAGAAGGGAGACCAGUUGCAAGCAGCAAACCUAACUAUAAAUACCAGCGCAUAAAUAUUUUGAGGAGCAAACGCACACGCACCAACUAACUGGCAGGAAUGCAGUGAGGUCUGCUUGCCAAAAGUCCCCUUUAAAAAAGGAGGACGCGGAAGCGAGAGGAGAGAAACCGAAAUUUCCCGCAAUAGUUGGAGGCAGCUGGCCGGCGCCUGGAAGCCCACUGCCAAGACUGGAAUCCUGAAGAAGUUUCGAUACCCGCGAAAAAGUCCCAUUAGGUGAAGGACCUCGACGGAACUACUCGAGGAGCGCUGCAGACGCAAAGCGACCGGUCCCACCGUGUUGGAUUUGACUCUCUCUGGCUCGGCGAGCGCUUACAAGCGAGCCCUCCCCGCCGAGCAGACUUUGAUUUUGAAGGAGCCCAGCGGCAAUCCUUGCGCACGCGAUCAGAUUUCAGACCAGGUUUGCAGCUGCAGGAAGAAUCCUCGCGGCGCCCCUUUUGUUUAAACAGCCCUCAGCCUUCCUCCCAAAGAGACUCUUCAGACAGCCUCAGCAAACCACGGCCGGCCCUUCGGUUGCGCAGCCACAAGAAGCGCCUGCAAAAAGGUUUAUUUUCCUUUGGUCAUCAUCACUGUAAUGUUGAACAUUUUUUUGGAAAAAGAAAGAAUGCCACUCCAAACAACAUUAUGGGUGCAUCUCAAUGUCAUCCAUGCAGCUUGUUCAGAGGCAAAACUUUGAUAUGGUCUGACUGCAUUCUAGAUUCCAGUUUGAUCCAGCUUAUAGAACCAACCUUGGAUGAUGAGGACUAAAUAUGCAGCAGAAGGUUAAACAAGGAGAGGUUGAAAAGAGUCAUGUUUCUAAAGCAGAAACUUAACACUGAAAACGUCUUGUACUCCCUAAGGACUGCUUAGGGGGAGAGAAAUCUGCAGUUACCUGGGAAAACAAAAAGGGACUUCGAGCUUGGGCAUGCACUUGGGCAUACAGGCCCCCUACUUACACAUCCUACAUGGCUUCAGCUACAUAAGCUUAUUCAACUCAGUGGGACAGGGCAGCAAAUCAUACCCCUUUUGAAUACUACUGCUAAAUGUCUGACAUGAUUGGCUUUAUUAUUCUGAGCAUGGAUUCCAGGAAUGCUGAAAGGAGAACAAAAUAAAAUUGCGAGGGGGAGAAUGGAGUUUACAGAGUAGAUGGCCUUUGUGGGAGUCUAUAAACUUCACGCAGCUGGAGAUUGGUUUAAUACUUCCACUGCCUCCCAGGAUUAUGAUGGAAGGCAGAUAGAUCACUCCGUCAUUCGCAUAGUGAUGACAUAGUGCUCCAGAUCUCCAAUAGAUCUCUUCCAGCAACUUCAUGUAGAUGUUACAAAUUAUUGAUGACAACUUUACAGUACCUUUGUAUCAUGAAGAAAUCAAACUACUACAAUGUUGAUUUUUCCAGAUUCAGUAUAGCUAGGCUAGUUUCUUCAGGAGGGGGGUUGACUGUAGCCUCUUUUAACAUUGCAGAUGUAAUAUCUUCCUGCAGUGAAUAAUUAAUAAUUAACACCAUCCAGUUUGGCAGCUCUUCUGUGGUAAAUUACACUAGCCAUGAACUAGUGAACUACAUUAGACUGGUGGGAAGCUUCAGUUUUUCAGUUAUCUUAUUCAUGUCCUCAAGUUUAAUUAAUUGAAAAGUGUCCUUUUGAACUAGAGAACUUAAAAUCUUGGUUAGUGCAGAAUCAAAAUUGGAUCAGAUGCCAACAAUUUUAUCCACAAAACACAUAGUAAAAUGGUCACAAUUAACUGUAGAAGGUUCCACUAUCUGAUCCUGGGGCAAGCCCCAGCUCAAGAGAGAAGGUGCUCAGGAAGAAUCACAUAAACUGCAUGAUGGGCAUCCCAGAUUCAGAGGCCCACUAGCUUUCCCACACAAUUGCUAGUCAUAGCAGCAGGAAAAUAUACCAUAGCAGUCAAGAAACCAUUUGGAUGUAUCUUGCUCCAAGGGGAAGCUCUGCUAAUUUAAACCAAGUCUUAACCCUUGAACAGUUUUAAAUGUUCAUCAGGGAAGACUAUGGUGAGUGAAGAGGAGGAGCUAAAGGUUCCUGAGGAGAUUUUUAAAAUGUCAAAUUUUGUGCAAAUGGCAAACAUAGACCCUUAGACAACCUUCCUUGGCCUUGUUAAUCUCCCUUCUUUUAUUGGUUGAGGCAUCCUCCCCUUUUCCACCUGCAGGACCUCCCAAUUCCUUGCCUUCCCGCCCACCCUUUCAAAGACUGCGCUGAAGUCAGAUGUGAACAGGCAGACUGGGGGACUCCUGUACUGACCAAACUCUUCUCAUUCAUUGACCAGCACAGAAUAAUGCCAGACUUGGGGUAUCUUCAGUUAUCAUACCAGUUUAUAAGAAGGGGCCGCCAGAUUGUCCAGAAAAUUAUAGACCCAUCAGUCUUUUGUUCAUCCUGGGGAAAUUAUAUGCCAAACAUUUUGAAAAGAAGCUAAUGGAAUGGAUUGUGGAAAAUAAUGUCAUUGGCCCGGAACAAGCAGGCUUCAGAUUGGAAAAAUCAACAGUUGAUCACUGUACAACCCUUUCCUUUUUAAUAAAUAGAUAAAUAAAUAAAUAGAUAGAUAGAUAGAUAGAUAGAUAGAUAGAUAGAUAGAUAGAUAGAUAGAUAGAUAGAUAGAUAGAUAGAUAGAUAGAUAGAUUGAUAAUAAUGAACUGAAGACGUUGUAUAUUGCAGUGCAGUGCUUUUGAUAUAGUUUCUAGAAAUAUUCUCUGAUCUAGGUUACUCCAGGUGCAAAUAGAUCCAUGAUUACUUAUGUUAAUACAGAAGCUAGAUGGUACAAUGUCUUGCCAAGUAAAAUAUGACCAACAUGGUUCCUUAACACACAAGAUAUCAACAUACCAAGGUGUUAAAUAGGGUUGUGUGCUGGCAAUUCACUUAUUUAAUCUGCACAUCAAUGAUCUGAAGGUCCAUCUCUGCAAGGUCAAUGGUCAUCCCCCUAAAUUAGGCAGUUGUACCAUUCUACUCCUGCUGUAUGCUGACAAUACCACUAUUCUUUCUCGUACUAGAAUAAAUCUCAAAAUAGAGGCUCUUGCUAAUUACUGCCAUUUAAUGUACUGAGAAUGAACUAUUCAAAAUAAAAAAUGGUUGUAUUUGCUAAGCAUUGGCACCUGCUUCCUUGGAAAAUUAAGACCUUUAAAUAUCUAGGGCUCAGUUUCCAAUAUAACCAUAGAUGGACUUUUCAUUGAUUUUGUAUAAACUUGUCUGGCAAGUAUACAUCCACAGGGGUAGCCCAAUUUUAUUACAGGAAGGCCAAUUUUAAAAGGUCUUCCAAGCUAAGGUAGUACUGAAGACCCUCUCUGGAAUUCCCAUAUGAAUAAAGGCAUUUAACAAUUACAUUGAGCAAAUACAAGCCCUGUUCUUAAGGAGAAUAUUGGGAGUACCUAACACUGUCCCCUCUUCUACUCUCCGCCUUGAAGCUUGAUUGUCACUAAUUGAAACCUAAGUAUGACUUGUAAUGAUAAAAUAUUGGCUCAAAAUGCACUAUAGACCAUUGACGGGAGAUCUAAUUUCUCAUCUUCUCCCUGACAAUUAUGUUUCACAAUGGUCUAAAACAAUUACCUCUGAUCAAGAAUGUCAGAAUAUCCCUUGAAUCCUUACAACAAUCUGAAUAAAGUUUUAUUUUGAGACAAAUCCAAGACAGACCCGUUAACCAUGGAUAGCAGUUAUUCUAUUCAGUUAAGGAGCAAUAUGUUACCCCCAUGUCUUUGGAAUUCAACCCAACUGCAGGGUUAAUGUUAAUUAUCUUAUAAAUGUGACAACUAUCAAGCAAUGAAGGGCUUUCAUGCUAGCACCAUUUAAUAGUCUUCCAUCAACCACUACAACUAACCACCUAGUAGUAGAUUUAGCCCCAGCACUUCCCUGUUUAGAAAUUAAACACCCGAGCAUAACGAAAGAAGUUUAGACCCAAAAGCUAUUUGGUCAGUCAUAAGAACAUAUUGCCUUUCUCUACCUGUUUCUUUCACAUCUAUGACAGCAGUGCCUUGUAUGAUACUAGCUCCUCUAUAUCCUCCCCUGACAAAUUUACAAUUUCUCUGUGUUAAUCAGGGCUGCUAAUGGGAACUAAAUGUUAGAGGCUCAUGGAACCAGGCCAAGGAAUUAAUGUAAUUUGAGUUGGGUUUGUAUGGUUGAGGGGCAGGGGGAUCUUUGUCCGGUGAUGGCUCUUGGCAGCCUUGGUAUUAAUGAGAGUUGGUGGUUUCCCCAAGGAUGUAAGGCGAAGCCCUGGAUCUUAGUUGCUUGUAGAUGAUACUGCCUCAGAAUAGAAACAAAAGAGAGAGGAGAAUGCCAAGACACUUGUGUCCAUAGGAUUAUAAAAAGUUCAACACUCAGUUAGUGCUGCUCUCCAUUUUGCUUGCUUUGCAGGCGGGCAGAACAAAACUAACUGCAGGAAGUUAUAAAAAGAAGAUAUAAAAUUUGCCCAUUAAUUUGUUUUGAAUAAUUUGGGAUGUAAAUUUAUUUUCCUUUGUAAAUCUGUGCUGCAAACACUGGACUUUUUUAACAUGCUCCACUUGGUCCUGAUUUUCUUGGCAGUUGAUCUGUAGGCAUUAGAACUGUUUGGGAGCAGUUCUCCUAAAUGUCUGCCCUCUUCUGUAUUUUCACUGUUGUGGAGUCAGUUUAUUUUCUUCCACACAUGCCUUCAACAACAAUGAUUUUUGUGGGAGGGUACUGUUGUCAUUGGUGGUAUCACUGGCAGCAUUACAGCAGCACUCCCUCUUUUUUAAUUAAAAAAUGGCACUGAAAUAUUGAUAUACAGUGCUGGAGCACUGUAUCAAUAGGUUUAGCAGAUUCCUGAGUUACCAGUUUUCAUUUAAAUAAAAAAUCUCCAGUCUCUUUUUCCUUAUAUUUCCAUUAUGGAAGGGACUAGAGAUUUAUUUUUAGUGCUGUUAGAAAAGAAAUCACUUGUCUUCUGGGUGAGGGUAGAAGUUGAGGGAGUGGUUUCAUCACAAAAGUGGGCUGGAGGUGGAGGGGAUUGGGUGGGACAAAGAAAGCCAACAGAAACCUUACAUAUGAAGAAAAAGCUGACUCAGAAUCAGCUUUGAUCAGGGUAACCCCCCCCCCCCGGUUUCCCCCCCCCAGUUUUGUUUUGUGGGAGGUGGGGAGAAAACCCCCCAAAUAAAAACUAAAGGCAUAAAAAUCCAU